UUCCGGUUGAUCCUGCCGGACCCUACUGCUAUCGAGGUGGGACUAAGCCAUGCCAGUCGAACGACCCGGACUAUGGCGGGGAGUGGCAGACUGCUCAGUAACACGUAGCUAACCUACCCUCGGGACGGGGAUAACCCCGGGAAACUGGGGCUAAUACCCGAUAGGUAUGGAUUCCUGGAAUGGUGCCAUGCCUAAACGUAAGCACAUCCAUGUUUGUGUGCACGCCCGAGGAUGGGGCUGCGGCCGAUCAGGCAGUUGGUGAGGUAACGGCUCACCAAACCUUUGACCGGUACGGGCCAUGAGAGUGGUAGCCCGGAGAUGGGCACUGAGACAAGGGCCCAGGCCCUACGGGGCGCAGCAGGCGCGAAACCUCCACAAUUCACGCAAGUGAGAUGGGGUUACCUCGAGUGCCAUCUGAAGAAGGUGGCUUUUCCAUGGUGUAAUGAGCCGUGGGAAUAAGGGGGGGGCAAGACUGGUGUCAGCCGCCGCGGUAACACCAGCCCCCCGAGUGGUGGGGAUGAUUAUUUGGCCUAAAGCGUCCGUAGCCAGCUCGGUAAAUCUCUCGUUAAAUCCAGCGUCCUAAGCGUUGGGCUGCGAGGGAAACUGCCGAACUAGAGGGUGGGAGAGGUCAGCGGUAUUCCUGGGGUAGGGGCGAAAUCCAUUGAUCCCAGGAGGACCACCAGUGGCGAAGGCUGCUGACUAGAACACGCCUGACGGUGAGGGACGAAAGCUGGGGUAGCGAAUCGGAUUAGAUACCCGAGUAGUCCCAGCCGUAAACGAUGCAGGCUAGGUGUUGGGUCGGCCAUGCGCCGCCUCAGUGCCACAGGGAAGCCAUUAAGCCUGCCGCCUGGGGAGUACGGCCGCAAGGCUGAAACUUAAAGGAAUUGGGCGGGGGAGCACCACCAGGCGUGAAGCCCUGCGGUUUAAUUGGGAUUCAACGCCGGGA
rnacentral:rRNA from 1 species